rnacentral:rRNA from 1 species
AGGACGAACGCUGGCGGCGUGCCUAACACAUGCAAGUCGAACGAAGCAUUUAAGUGAAUCCCUUCGGGGUGAAGCUUUUAUGACUUAGUGGCGGACGGGUGAGUAACGCGUGAGUAACCUGCCUUUCAGAGGGGGAUAACAGUUGGAAACGACUGCUAAUACCGCAUAACGUACAUUUAAGGCAUCUUAGAUGUACCAAAGCUGAGGCGCUGAAAGAUGGACUCGCGUCUGAUUAGAUAGUUGGUGGGGUAACGGCCUACCAAGUCGACGAUCAGUAGCCGGACUGAGAGGUUGAUCGGCCACAUUGGGACUGAGACACGGCCCAGACUCCUACGGGAGGCAGCAGUGGGGAAUAUUGCACAAUGGGCGAAAGCCUGAUGCAGCAACGCCGCGUGAGGGAAGACGGUUUUCGGAUUGUAAACCUCUGUCUUUGGUGAAGAUAAUGACGGUAACCAAGGAGGAAGCCACGGCUAACUACGUG